rnacentral:rRNA from 1 species
GAGCGGAACCAUGGAGAGGGGGAUCACCCGGUCCCAUUCCGAACCCGGCAGUUAAGCCCCUCCUCGCCGAAAGUACUGCGGGU